rnacentral:rRNA from 2 species
UGCANGUCGAGCGGUAGCACANANAGCUUGCUCUCGGGUGACNAGCGGCGGACGGGUGAGUAAUGUCUGGGAAACUGCCUGAUGGAGGGGGAUAACUACUGGAAACGGUAGCUAAUACCGCAUAACGUCGCAAGACCAAAGUGGGGGACCUUCGGGCCUCAUGCCAUCAGAUGUGCCCAGAUGGGAUUAGCUAGUAGGUGGGGUAACGGCUCACCUAGGCGACGAUCCCUAGCUGGUCUGAGAGGAUGACCAGCCACACUGGAACUGAGACACGGUCCAGACUCCUACGGGAGGCAGCAGUGGGGAAUAUUGCACAAUGGGCGCAAGCCUGAUGCAGCCAUGCCGCGUGUGUGAAGAAGGCCUUCGGGUUGUAAAGCACUUUCAGCGGGGAGGAAGGCGAUAAGGUUAAUAACCUUGUCGAUUGACGUUACCCGCAGAAGAAGCACCGGCUAACUCCGUGCCAGCAGCCGCGGUAAUACGGAGGGUGCAAGCGUUAAUCGGAAUUACUGGGCGUAAAGCGCACGCAGGCGGUCUGUCAAGUCGGAUGUGAAAUCCCCGGGCUCAACCUGGGAACUGCAUUCGAAACUGGCAGGCUAGAGUCUUGUAGAGGGGGGGUAGAAUUCCAGGUGUAGCGGUGAAAUGCGUAGAGAUCUGGAGGAAUACCGGUGGCGAAGGCGGCCCCCUGGACAAAGACUGACGCUCAGGUGCGAAAGCGUGGGGAGCAAACAGGAUUAGAUACCCUGGUAGUCCACGCCGUAAACGAUGUCGAUUUGGAGGUUGUGCCCUUGAGGCGUGGCUUCCGGAGCUAACGCGUUAAAUCGACCGCCUGGGGAGUACGGCCGCAAGGUUAAAACUCAAAUGAAUUGACGGGGGCCCGCACAAGCGGUGGAGCAUGUGGUUUAAUUCGAUGCAACGCGAAGAACCUUACCUGGGUCUUGACAUCCACAGAACUUUCCAGAGAUGGAUUGGUGCCUUCGGGAACUGUGAGACAGGUGCUGCAUGGCUGUCGUCAGCUCGUGUUGUGAAAUGUUGGGUUAAGUCCCGCAACGAGCGCAACCCUUAUCCUUUGUUGCCAGCGGUCCGGCCGGGAACUCAAAGGAGACUGCCAGUGAUAAACUGGAGGAAGGUGGGGAUGACGUCAAGUCAUCAUGGCCCUUACGACCAGGGCUACACACGUGCUACAAUGGCAUAUACAAAGAGAAGCGACCUCGCGAGAGCAAGCGGACCUCAUAAAGUAUGUCGUAGUCCGGAUUGGAGUCUGCAACUCGACUCCAUGAAGUCGGAAUCGCUAGUAAUCGUAGAUCAGAAUGCUACGGUGAAUACGUUCCCGGGCCUUGUACACACCGCCCGUCACACCAUGGGAGUGGGUUGCAAAAGAAGUAGGUAGCUUAACCUUCGGGAGGGCGCUUACCAC